AAAAACUGUACACCCGGCAAGUCGAAAACCCUACAAGGGCGGCCUGGGCAAAAAAGGGUAUCCCGGUGGACUGAAAACCCGAAAGGGCGGUCUAGGAAAAAGAGGGAAUGAAACGAACAACUGCGUCUAGCAUGGUCGUUUGUACUUUCGUUAAGACACAUGGAUAAUCGGAAAGCGGAGAUCGGUCGAAAGCGUCUUGUUUCGGAAAGUGCGGAG
rnacentral:lncRNA from 1 species